GAUUAACGCUGGCGGCAUGCCUAAUACAUGCAAGUCGAACGGAAGCAGCAAUGCUUUAGUGGCGAACGGGUGAGUAACACGUAGGGAACCUACCUAUACGACGAGGAUAACUACUGGAAACGGUAGCUAAAACUGGAUAGGAUCAAUUGAGGCAUCUUGAUUGAUUUAAAGAUCCUUCGGGAUUACGUAGAGAUGGCCCUGCGGCGCAUUAGCUAGUUGGUGAGGUAACGGCCCACCAAGGCGACGAUGCGUAGCUGAGCUGAGAGGCUAAACAGCCACACUGGGACUGAGACACGGCCCAGACUCCUACGGGAGGCAGCAGUAGGGAAUUUUCGGCAAUGGGGGAAACCCUGACCGAGCAAUGCCGCGUGAACGAUG
rnacentral:rRNA from 1 species